CUCUGAGUGGGAAUUACGGUCAGUGUCUUCUGUAGUGUGCGCGGGAGCCCUGACCUCGCUCGCUGACUUGACCUCUGAAGAUGGAAAGUAUCUUCAACACAGACCUGCCUACAGUUAAGCCUGGAAACACAACCUCAAGCAAGAAAAGAUGCAGUGCAAUAUCUAAGGAGCUAGAAGAAACCAAUAUUUGCCAGGGGAGGGGGGAGACGAUCACGCUUUUUUUUGGUGCCUUUUUGGUUUUUUUUUUUGGAAGCGACUCCAACUUUUGGGGGCUUGGUUAUGCUUUUUUUUGUUGUUGUCGGGCUUUUAUUUUUAUUCUUGCCUGUCAUUGUUUUUUCAUCUGACAGUGGGCCAAGUUCACCUUCCCUUGGCUUCCUAGCAUCUAUCCCCGGAGUCUUAACUCUCAGUCCAGCAGGCAUAAGGUAUAAUUUCUAUACAACAUCAUCCAUAUUUUAGCAUUCCAAGAAAGGCAGCAGGUGCCAAUCAGGCACCCGUCUUCAUGCCUUCUUUUUAUUCUUUUUUCUUUUAAGUUUUAUCUAUUUAAGGUGGUGAGGUACUGUAGGCACCGACAUUCGCCCCCCCUUGCCUCCCCCUCCCAUGUACUGAAGAGCUGAUUCAGCGAAUAGAGUGAGAGAGCACUCAGGAUGAGAUGGCUGCUGCUGAUGUGUCUCUAGGUCAUUACCUCUCUUCCAACUGCAAAUGCUGCAUGAUACUAAGCUCACAGUCACCAGAUGCAAACUCUAUGCCAGCAUGGAUAUCUGCUAGAAGACCUGGGAGGGAGAUGAAGUUAUUACUUUGGAAUACAACUACGAAUUCCAAGAAAACACGUUGCAAAACUACCAGAGAUCCAGCUCUACGGCCAAAAGCGGUCCCUCAGAACAAAGAGCAAGAGGCUCAAAAAAUCUGGAAAAGCACUUCCAAUGUCCAGGCCACACCAGAACAAUGAACUCGAACUGGUUUGUAAGCUGCCGUGCAGGUAAAUUGCAUUGCAAAGUUCAGUUAGAAUAAGCAGUUUAUUUUCUACCAUUAGUUAAUCAUAACACUGUUCUUCCAAAGAACCAUCGGCCUGAGAUUUCACUAUUGACAGCAAAGGAAAGCAGCAAAAUAUUUUUAAGGUUCAUCUGACAGGUAGACAAGCAACUCUCUGUGUACCUGCUAAGAGUACAUACUUCUUUAUGUACCCAUAUGAACAUACAAUGCUAUGGAAUGUAAAGAAGUAUGUAUUUUUGGAAGGCACUGAACAACCCGUAAGAGGAAACUAAACAGCUGUUGGAAGAAACAGGUUUCCCUCUUGUCUGAAUGACAUGCAUGUGACAAAUUAACUUCCUAAGGGUCAGCUGGUAUCGCCAAAAUAACUCCUACUUGUUAGUAACAAAUCACAAAACAUUAAAUCAAGUGACUAUAAAAGUGGGUAGGAAGAAUUGUUAACAGCUGAUAAGCAGAACAUUAGUUGUAAACAAAGAAUUCCAAACACUGGCUGGCAAUGAAACCUUAAGACUGCAGCAUAGCUGCAAAAUUCAUCAUUCCAGUUCUCCUCAAUUAAAUACAUCCUAAAAUAACCUUAAAAGCCUGAUUAUCAAAAUACACCUCAUUAAAAACAAGCCAUUGUUCUAUUAAUCACAGCAAUUUCUGCAAGACUUAGCUGGCUGUAUUUAAAUUUACAAGUAGCAUAGAAUAAUCUACAGGUUGCAACUAAGAUAAAGCUAAGACAUUAAGGCUGAGACUUAGAGAAAAGGAGAGCCAAAAUAAUUGAGUAUGAUAAAUUCUACAAUUUAAUAAACGAGACUUAAGUUAGAAUUUUCUCUAAAUCAGCACUUAUUAUGCUCACUGAGCUUUUUGAUACAAAGUGCAGUGUCAGGUUCAUGCACAGAAAGUGACAAUACAGAGAUUUCUAGGCCAUAGCCACUGGUCAGCGGAUUAAAGUUAUUGACAGAUUCCUAAAUGAAAACACAACUACAACCUAGAAGGUAAGUUAACUUAAAUACUCCUUUCAAAUAAGCUCAAUUUAUUUAAAAUCCAAAUUUGAGAAAAUUCAUUAUGUAAAUAUGACUUUGUCACAUCCAGAAAAUUUUAAGAACUGCAUGAUAGUUUGGCAACAGUUUCAGGUUCUAAAAGCUGUAUUAACUAAAACAUUCUAGUGCAUAGUAUCCCUAAGUAAAGAUACUCAAUAUCAAAUUCAGGAGGAAGGAAAAAUACGAGGCAAGACCUUCAGGCUCAUCAAUCCAGCCUGUUCUACUCAAAGCAGCAGCUUUGUAAAAGCAGUUUUUACAUAUAAUAUGUUCAUGAUAAGUAGAAACAUUAGACUCAGAUUAAAGAUUUUAAUUGGACCUCUGUCCUUACUAAAACGUUGGGCAGUUAA